UGCAGCGACGCCGCGUGAGGGAUGACGGCCUUCGGGUUGUAAACCUCUUUCACCAGGGACGAAGCGCAAGUGACGGUACCUGGAGAAGAAGCACCGGCCAACUACGUGCCAGCAGCCGCGGUAAUACGUAGGGUGCGAGCGUUGUCCGGAAUUACUGGGCGUAAAGAGCUCGUAGGUGGUUUGUCGCGUUGUUCGUGAAAACUCACAGCUCAACUGUGGGCGUGCGGGCGAUACGGGCAGACUGGAGUACUGCAGGGGAGACUGGAAUUCCUGGUGUAGCGGUGGAAUGCGCAGAUAUCAGGAGGAACACCGGUGGCGAAGGCGGGUCUCUGGGCAGUAACUGACGCUGAGGAGCGAAAGCGUGGGGAGCGAACAGGAUUAGAUACCCUGGUAGUCCACGCCGUAAACGGUGGGUACUAGGUGUGGGUUUCCUUCCUUGGGAUCCGUGCCGUAGCUAACGCAUUAAGUACCCCGCCUGGGGAGUACGGCCGCAAGGCUAAAACUCAAAGAAAUUGACGGGGGCCCGCACAAGCGGCGGAACAUGUGGAUUAAUUCGAUGCAACGCGAAGAACCUUACCUGGGUUUGACAUGCACAGGACGUGCCUAGAGAUAGGUAUUCCCUUGUGGCCUGU
rnacentral:rRNA from 1 species